UACGGAGGGUGCGAGCGUUGUCCGGAAUCACUGGGCGUAAAGGGCGCGUAGGCGGCGCAGUUAGUCAGGCGUGAAAUUCCUGGGCUCAACCUGGGGACUGCGCUUGAUACGGCUGUGCUUGAGGAUGGAAGAGGCUCGCGGAAUUCCCAGUGUAGAGGUGAAAAUUCGUAGAUAUUGGGAAGAACACCGGUGGCGAAGGCGGCGAGCUGGUCCAUUACUGACGCUGAGGCGCGACAGCGUGGGGGAGCAAACAGG
rnacentral:rRNA from 1 species